rnacentral:tRNA from 1 species
UCCCCAAUAGCUCAAUUGGUAAAGAAUCUGCCUGCAAUGCAGGAGACCCUGGUUUGAUUCCUGGGUUGGGAA